rnacentral:lncRNA from 1 species
UCUCGCUCUGGGAUGUAAUGUCAGAACGCGUGUGUGGAAUGUACGCUCGGAGCGGCUGAUACUAAAUACACAACAUGCCAAGAACGUGCGCUGAAAUGUAUGUUUGGCAUGUUAACUUUGAUAUUUCAAGUUUUGGAGUGGCGCGUGAUACUUCCACAGAGUCGUAAAGUUUUGUUCUGCGAGCCAGACUCCAAAUCUGCACUCCAACAAAAAGACGACCACAAGACUGGACAUGUGGUUCCAACGUUGGUGCCAAGAGUACGUUCCAAACCUCUUUCGAGGUUAAGCAUUUACACAAACAAGUUUGGCAUGUGCACCUGGAGUGUACGUGCCAAAACCGUCGG